rnacentral:lncRNA from 1 species
AGGCAGAGCAAGUGUCAUCUUCACGGGUAUGGAUUAUAUCUUCCUCUCUACUUUUGCAGAUGUUGUAAGUUUCUAUAAUAAAAGAUUAAAAAACAAAAAAGAAAAUGCCUGGACUUAAUCUAUAUUCUUUUCCACAGUCCCUGCUGCCUGGGAGACUGGAAGGUCUGAGUCCCAGUGGUAUGGAGCUAACAGGAAAAGGAUGUCCCAGCCCAAGUCCUAGCUGCCCAGGACCCACCCUCCUUCCUCGAGUUCAGCCCCAGGGUGCCUGUGCUUUGACCUGCUUCUGCAGACAGUGAAGAUAAAAGGGAACCUACACAUCAAGGGAAGAACUUCCAACCAGAGUCCCCUCUGUAACCAGGGCAGAGCCUUGGGAGGCAACAGGAAAGAAACCCUAAGGCUGGACCCGGCAGCCAUCUGUGCAGAAGAGUUGGGCCAGCGAACACCCAGAAGGACCAGAUGCCGGCCUGCGGGGACCUCUCCAGACUGUGGCUCCUGAGCUGGCACCCCUCUGGUUCAGGGCUCCUCAGCCCCAGCACAGUGCCUGAUGUUUAGCACAGCUCACUCAGUAAUUGACAAGGCCUGAAAUUCACAUUUUUAGUCCAACACCAUUUUCUAUGAGUCACGUGAAAAAUGUUGAUGGAGGUCCAGAGAUAACAAAAUAAGAGACAAUCAGGGUGAAUAAGUCCUCAGACCACGGAAUUUAGGUUCUGUUUCCCUGGAGGCUUGCAUGGUAAAGAAUCUGCAUGCAGUGCAGAUUCCUGGGUUCCAUCCUUGGGUCAUUGACAUCCCCUGGAAAAGGGAAUGGCUACCCGCUCCAGUAUUCUGGAAAAUUCCAUGGACAGAAUAGGAGCCUGGUGGGCUACAGUCCAUGGGAUUGCAAAGAGUCAGACAUGACUGAGUGACUAGCACUUUCACUUUUCACUUUUUCUCCCACUUGAUGAGCUCUGCAACCUUACAGAUAAGAAGGUUGCCCGUGAUGGGUCCUACCUGAGUCCAUGAAGAGGUGGUCUUUCACAAUCCUGCCUGCACAGAGUAUAUGUUCAAUAAAUGUGGGUUCUUGAUAUUUUUUAAUUGAGACAUAAACCAUAUAAAAUUUUGUAUAAAAUAAAAUACUUAGAUCUUAAGUAUUCCAUUUGAUGAGUUUUGGCAAUAUAAACCUGUAUAGAUAUUGUAUAAAUCUGCCUAGCUAUCAAGGUCUAGACAUGAAGCAUUUCCAAUCAUCCCUGAAAGUUCCCUCAUAACCCUUUCCAGUUGAUCUCUGCCUCCCUGCUCACAGAGGCAACUAUUUUCUGAUUUCCAUCAUCGUAGAUGAGCUUUGUCCAUUCGAGUACUUCACAUAAAGGGAAGCAUACAGUAUGUUCCCUGGACUCAUUUUUCUAUAUCUGUUACUGUUGUUGUUGUUCAGGAUAAUGUUUUUGAAACUCAUCCGUG